AAGCAAAAAAGAUAUGUUUCAAAUCAGUAUAUUAGAUGGUGGGUGCCCAGUGUGCAAUGGCUGCAAACAGCAACCUUCUCGGUAGUGUACACAGCCUGUUGUUUUUAUGGGCUGCCCUAAGGGACCUUGGAGACAAGG
rnacentral:snoRNA from 1 species